rnacentral:tRNA from 1 species
AUUAGCUCAGUUGGUUAGAGCACGGUGCUAAUAACACCGAUGUUGCAGGUUUGAUCCCUGUAU